UUUUCCUGCACAGGGGUUUCUUUUUCUUCUCCUGAUGCAGAUUCUGGAGCAGGAGGAACAGGAGGAGCUGGCGCGGUGGUUGAAACUGAAGCAAGAGCUGGAGUCACUGAUUUGACCGGGUUGGCCGACUGAGGAGCUCGAUUGGUCCAGGGAGGUUGCUGCUGCUGCUGGGCUGAAGAAAGCCUGCUCGCUGGUUUCUGGGCUUGACUGACAUCCGGUGGCGAGCAGCAGAGGUGUCCAGGCGAGGGGUUAACUGGGCCGGAGAGCUGAAGUCUGACGGAGACUCAUCCACAGAAGAAUUGGAAGGAACAGAGACAGGCACAGUCUGGGAUGCGUAUUUGGUGGGUGAUUGUUUGGGGUUGGGUGAGAUUGGAGAAGUCUGAAAAGAAAGGAACAACAAAAUAGUGAGUCACUCUCUUUAGCUAAACUUAUUUUCUUAUACCUCAUAUGGAAGUGCCAUGAACACACGUGUUUAUGAUGAAAAAGACUGCAUUGUACUUUUACUUUUGUACCUUAGCUCUGCCUGUGGUGAUAGCUGAAUUGUCAUCCUUGAUGAUUAAGUGUUGACCAAAUGAAAUGUCUAACUAAAUAUGCUCUCCAAUAUAUCCCCAAACUAGAAUAUAUAUACAGGUACCAAGGCUUUGAGGCAGAGCUAUUAAAGUUAACAACAGCAAAAAGUGUUGUACGUCAAACAUUAAACUGAAGUCACCUCA